ACGCAUCGCUGUUUUGAGGUGACGGUUCGGUACGCAUCGCUGUUUUGAGGUGACGGUUCGGUACGCAUCGCUGUUUUGAGGUGACGGUUCGGUACGCAUCGCUGUUUUGAGGUGACGGUUCGGUACGUAUCGCUGUUUUGAGGUGACGGUUCGGUACGUAUUGCUGUAAGCCCAACACAGGGUGCAUCUCACUCCUGGGUAAUGUGAGGGGGCUGUCACUGUUAAAGUAGCUCUCUCUAGCCCUGGAGGUCUAUCCAUCUGUAGUAAGCCCCUCUCUGAAGCCCUGGAGGUCCAUCCAUCUGUAGUAAGCCCCUCUCUGUAGCCCUGAAGCUCCAUCCAUCUGUAGUAAGCCCCUCUCUGUAGCCCUGGAGGUCUAUCCAUCUGUAGUAAGCCCCUCUCUGUAGUCCUGGAGGUCUAUCCAUCUGUAGUAAGCCCCUCUCUGUAGCCCUG
rnacentral:lncRNA from 1 species